rnacentral:rRNA from 1 species
CAGGCUUAACACAUGCAAGUCGAGGGGCAGCAUGGUCUUAGCUUGCUAAGGCCGAUGGCGACCGGCGCACGGGUGAGUAACACGUAUCCAACCUGCCGUCUACUCUUGGACAGCCUUCUGAAAGGAAGAUUAAUACAAGAUGGCAUCAUGAGUCCGCAUGUUCACAUGAUUAAAGGUAUUCCGGUAGACGAUGGGGAUGCGUUCCAUUAGAUAGUAGGCGGGGUAACGGCCCACCUAGUCUUCGAUGGAUAGGGGUUCUGAGAGGAAGGUCCCCCACAUUGGAACUGAGACACGGUCCAAACUCCUACGGGAGGCAGCAGUGAGGAAUAUUGGUCAAUGGGCGAGAGCCUGAACCAGCCAAGUAGCGUGAAGGAUGACUGCCCUAUGGGUUGUAAACUUCUUUUAUAAAGGAAUAAAGUCGGGUAUGGAUACCCGUUUGCAUGUACUUUAUGAAUAAGGAUCGGCUAACUCCGUGCCAGCAGCCGCGGUAAUACGGAGGAUCCGAGCGUUAUCCGGAUUUAUUGGGUUUAAAGGGAGCGUAGAUGGAUGUUUAAGUCAGUUGUGAAAGUUUGCGGCUCAACCGUAAAAUUGCAGUUGAUACUGGAUAUCUUGAGUGCAGUUGAGGCAGGCGGAAUUCGUGGUGUAGCGGUGAAAUGCUUAGAUAUCACGAAGAACUCCGAUUGCGAAGGCAGCCUGCUAAGCUGCAACUGACAUUGAGGCUCGAAAGUGUGGGUAUCAAACAGGAUUAGAUACCCUGGUAGUCCACACGGUAAACGAUGAAUACUCGCUGUUUGCGAUAUACUGCAAGCGGCCAAGCGAAAGCGUUAAGUAUUCCACCUGGGGAGUACGCCGGCAACGGUGAAACUCAAAGGAAUUGACGGGGGCCCGCACAAGCGGAGGAACAUGUGGUUUAAUUCGAUGAUACGCGAGGAACCUUACCCGGGCUUAAAUUGCAGAUGAAUUACGGUGAAAGCCGUAAGCCGCAAGGCAUCUGUGAAGGUGCUGCAUGGUUGUCGUCAGCUCGUGCCGUGAGGUGUCGGCUUAAGUGCCAUAACGAGCGCAACCCUUGUUGUCAGUUACUAACAGGUUCCGCUGAGGACUCUGACAAGACUGCCAUCGUAAGAUGUGAGGAAGGUGGGGAUGACGUCAAAUCAGCACGGCCCUUACGUCCGGGGCUACACACGUGUUACAAUGGGGGGUACAGAGGGCCGCUACCACGCGAGUGGAUGCCAAUCCCCAAAACCUCUCUCAGUUCGGACUGGAGUCUGCAACCCGACUCCACGAAGCUGGAUUCGCUAGUAAUCGCGCAUCAGCCACGGCGCGGUGAAUACGUUCCCGGGCCUUGUACACACCGCCCGUCAAGCCAUGGGAGCCGGGGGUACCUGAAGUGCGUAACCGCGAGGAGCGCCCUAGGGUAAAACUGGUGACUGGGGCUAAGUCGUA